ensembl:lncRNA
CUUUCCUGCCAGUUACAAGAGGAAACAAAGGUUGGGCUGAGAUGAGCAUAUCAAAGGCAGCAGUGAAAACAUAGCCAGCUGUUACUUCACAAGGAAAGAUGUAAAGCAGUGCUUUUUCCCCUGAUGGUAGGAAUUUGCCUUAGGAUUUCUCUUCCGGCAAACACAAUGGUAAUCAUGGUUACCACGUGCUGGUAAAUAGCAACGACCUGUAGAAAUAGUCUUUUUUUUAAGACUAAGUACCUGAAAGGUGAAACUCCACCGACCUGCUCUGUCAUUUGAAUUCAGACAUUUCUUCUCCCUGCAUAAUCUGCUGCACACAUGCACAUUUCCAAUUUAAGUGUCACAUAUGAAUGUACAGUUUAAUAUAGUGGCCAUAAUACUUUGUAAUCAUCAGAGAUUGAUUUAUUCCCCUCCAUAAUGUGUUUUAUAUUCAAAAUCCUUUUAAAUUGCUGCAGUUAGAAAAAUAAGUUACCAUAAAUUUUGAGACAAGGUGAAAAAGAGUUAGCUGCAAUUUUUGUGGUGCUAUAAAUACUCACAUUUACCUGCUUUGAAUAUUUCAAGAAUGGAAGAAGUAAUUCCCAUCCAGGAAAGAUUUGUGAGAAUUAGGAGAUCUGCAAGGACUUCAGUUUUUCUCAGUUCUGUCCUCAUGACUGAAUAAUGUCCAAACCUGUGCUUUCACUAACACAGCCUCCAAUUACAGGCCUUUCUCUAACAAGCAACACAGUGGGAUGUCAGAGAUGUGCUGUGAGAAACUAUGUAGUGCAGGAGCCUCCAGCUGGAGUGUUGUGAACAUGAUUGGGUGGGUGAGCUCUUCUGAUCAGCCUGAGGACAGCACCAGGUUACAGGUUGCUUUGGCUUCUUGCCCUUUGCACAGAAAAGAUGUAUCCAGCACCUCGGCACUGAAUUUUCCACCUCUUUAGUGCUGGAUUCAUCCUCCCUCAGAGUGUGUGAUACUCCCUAAACACAUAUGGGAACACAGCAGCUUUACAGAAGUUUUCUAGAGAAAAAAUUGCUCAGUUCUGCAAUGGAAGACCUGGACAUGAGGAUGAAGACACUCAUUACCCAUUAUGAGGGUACUCGCCUGAGAUGACAUUAGCCCCUGUGUCUGACUGCACUCUAUCUCCCAAAUUCUGUGUGAGUAAUUCAACCACCAAGCUGUUAGACGUUCUGGUGUAACUUUCAUCUCCGCAUACAAACCUUUGAAAUAGUUUGGUUAGUUUUUUUCUUUUUUUUUUUUUUAAGUCUUCUGCCACCAUCAAGAAACAUGUUUCUACUCCCACUCCAUUGAUGAGAUGCCCAGUGGUCAUGUUAUAUUAAGUCAUAUAAAUGAAUUAGCCAUUAAAUUAUAGAUUAAACAAAAGGGUUAUAACUGAAAGAACCUUUCUGUCCUUUACAAUUUAGGGAUAUUUGAAGGACUGUGGAAGGGCAAGAGAAGAUAGUAGGACAUAAAGAAAAGAAACUCCUUGUCUCUCCCCUGCUAACUCACAUAUUUAAACCAAACAGAAAAAAAAUUUAGGAGUGGUUUAGUGGGAAGAAGUGCUCAGACAAUUCAGCCAUUUCUCACUUUCCUUGAUCAGCAGCCAAGUCACGUAAGUUCAGAAGCAGGUGUAACUAAAGACAUGGUAAAGUGAUGGAACACUUAAAAAUAAGGUUAACUAGGUAAAUACUAGUUUAUGUGCAUAUUUAAAUGUUCAUAUUUUUUCUAUUAUUGCUUCAAAAAUAUUCUCUCAAAUAGCAGGUGCUCCCCCAGAAGUAAAAAAAAAAUCAAGAAAAUUUUUCUUUAAUACAAGUGUGGAGGUAGCAAUGCUUAAACUGUUGAGCUAAUGGAAUGCUUUAGUUAUCCAAUCUCUCUCCCAAGCUAAAUGCUCAAAAUUAUAGACAGAUUAGAAAAUUAGUGAGAAGCCAGCCAACUGAAUUUCAUCUCUUUUUCUUCUUUAGAAUAACAUAGAAUAUGGCAAAGCCAUCUGCAAAUGCACUUGAAUCUCAGUACAGAAAGAUUUAG